UUGUGAAUAUUCUCCCUGUUCUGAUUUUGUAAUAAUCUGGACAGGCUAAACAUUCGCUAUAUUAAGACCAUGCAUGUGUCCCCAGACCUAGGUCUUCUCUUUCCCUAGGUCUGGUUUUAUCAAUGCUGGUGGUAAAC
ensembl:snoRNA SNORA72 Small nucleolar RNA SNORA72